AGCCAUUGGUCUAUUUUGUUUCUACUGUUCUUUGAUGGUGUUGUUGGACCUUUUGAUUUGCAGAUGAAAGAAAGAGAAGUCCCUAAGUAGAAACUACAAGGGCCAAGCAGAAGAUUAUACCAUGUAAGGACAUCAUCUGUCCCUGGACUCUAACGGAAGAUCAUGCAAAUAGUGGACUGAAGUCAUCCCAGCCUUCAAAAGAGCCACCGUGGGGGGGGGGAAAUCACAGAAAGGGAUAAAAAGCUGUCUUUCGUAACCCAAUCUGUAUCUUUCUGUGUGACUUCCCUAUCCUGCCUGUCCUAACACCAUCUCGGCCGGAAAGACCCAUAGAAUAGAAACAGAGUAUAGAAAUGAAGAAGGGGAAGAGGGGAAAAAAUGGAGGAAACGCACAAGUUGUGUGUGUCUACAACUAGCAGAGAACAACUCCAACGUGUCUCUGAUACAGCUGGAGGAAGGGAUGCAACAAACUCAGGAACCAGAAUGCCUUGCACAAGAAACAAGACAGAGGGAAGCUUCUGGAGGAUAGAGAGCUUCAGCACAUUAAAAAACAGACUAAUUGGGCAGGACUUCUGAUCCCUGCCAUGAACAAUGAUGUGGAUAUGCUGCCAGAAAGCUGCAGUCAACAUGGAAGCUGACCAUCUACUGCAGUUCCUUCCGAACAUGAAGUGUGAAGAGUGCAUGUGUAUAACUCAAUCAGAAUGGCCCUCAGUGCGAUUGUCCAGAAUAGAAUACUGCGCUCUGGGGAGCUCACACCUGUGGUCCCAGCACUUUGAGAGGUCAAGGUGAGCAGAUCACCUCGGGGCAGGAGUUCAAGACCAGCCUGGCCAAUAUAGCAAAACCCAUCUCUAAUCAGAAUGCAAAAAAUUAACUGGGUAUGGUGGCAGGUGCCUGUAGUCCCAGCUACUCUGGAGAAUUGCUUGAACCUGGGAGGUGGAGGUUGCAGUGAGCCGAGAUGGUGCCAUUGCAUUCCA
rnacentral:lncRNA from 1 species